CCUGGAUGGAUCGGUGGGUCGGUUGCAACGGCCAAGUCUGCCAGAUGAGGGUCUGUAACAGCCUCGGGCUAUAAGUCGUGCUCCAAGCCUCUGGUUAACACCUCUGCGCUCCCAACUCGAGACCAAGGAAAAAGAGAAGGGGGACGAGUGCGGCUGUGGGCGGGAUUCUGUUCGACCGCCGAUUCGACCCCGGGGAAGCCUCUGGUUAACACCUCUGCGCACCCAACUCGAGACCGAGGAAAAAGAGAAGGGAAAGCAUAGGGUGCGGGGAAGGUAUCGCCUCGGAAGGACUCAAAUCAACGGCAAUUCCUCGCCGGACAUUGCUUUCCGUCGUGAAGUCGCUCCGCUCUGUGGACAGGCUCGUCAUCAAGCCAAUCGCGAGUACGCUACAGGAUAUGGUUGAUGGUGUGACUUGGCCUUCUACCCUGCCACCGGGUUGGACGGUUGAGUGGGAUGCUGCCUCGACAGGAGAGGAGCAGGAGGAGAGGGGAUAGGCCUUGCCCUAUUCCUCAGUAUUCGACGUCAUCGAUUAUCCGCUGCACUUUAAUUAUGAACUAGUUCCCUUUUAUUUAAAACUCCUAUUUAUGUAAUAACUCUAGUACCUUAAUUUGUGGUUUCAUGUUUUAUUGUA